GUGUGGGGGGGGGGAAUCCCUGACACGCAUGCGCGCGCCGCGACCCGCCAAUAAGAAAUCUGACCUGAUACCUGCGUUCCGCGUUGGUGCCCCGCAGGCCGGCUGCUCCCUGUGCAGGGCGCAUGUGCAGUAGGGCACCAUGUGGGCAGGCUCCCUAGGGCGCGGGAGAGCUGCUGGGGUGGUUCCAACUUCCAGAGUCCAGUGGAUCUGUGAGGAUUUCAGCCUCCAUUCUAAAAGAAAAAACUUCCACACACCGUCAGUACCUUAUUAGUGUGCCAUACGCUGUGAGAUAUCUCUUCUCUUUGUGUGUGACUGUGAGUGUUUCCCUUGUAUGUGAAUUUAUUCAACAAAAUCUUGAGCUACAUAAUGGAUACCAUGAGUGAAAAGAAAAAGAGAAAAAUAGAAUCAGAGCACGGCGUUUUCAACACUGAAUCGACGAAUAAAUACAUAUGUACUGAAAACGAUAAGCUUACUAAAGUAAGCUUUCAAAUUUCUAAGGAAAUUGCUGCUGCUGGGAAAUACUUAACAGAUGGCGAGUUUUUAAAAAGUGCAUGUUGAUUGCUGUAUCUGAGUUAUGUCCAGAAAAGAGGGGAAUAUUUGAGAAUGUCAGUCUAUCACACAUGACUGUACAGAGAAGAAUAGCUGACAUUUCUACCAAUCUAAGUGAUCAGUUAAAGCAGAGAGUCAGUGAAUUCUGCUAUUACUCCCUAGCUAUGGAGGAGAGCACCGAUUUAAAAGACACCGCCCAACUUCUUAUUUUUAUUAGAGGUAUUGAUAAAAACUUUGAAAUUACUGAAGAACUUGCUGGCGUGUGCUCUAUGACAGGUCACACAACCGGAAAAUAAAUCUCCAAUGAAGUGAUAAAGUGCAUGAAUGAUAAGCUGGGAUUAGAUUUUACAAACUUGGUGGCCAUUUGUACUGAUGGUGCUCCAGCUAUGUGCAGAAAAAAUGUUGGAGCAGUUACUCUUCUUGAAGAAUUUAUCGGGAGACAAAUAAUCAAACAUCACUGCAUUAUACAUCAGCAGGUUUUGUGUAGCAAAGUCUUAAAAUUUGAGCAUGUAAUGUCAGUGGUGGUUUCCAUUGUAAACUACAUCCGUUUUAGAGGACUAAAACAUAGGACAUUUCAAGCCGUUCUUGAAGGGGUAGAUGCCGAGUGCCGCGACUUGAUCUAUCAUACAGAAGGGAGGUGGUUGAGUUGAGGAAGAGUGCUCCAGCAUUUCAUUGCUUUGAAAGAGGAGAUAGCAGAAUUCCUAGAAAAUGGGCCAAUAAAAUUCCCAAAGCUUGAAAAUGAGUCCUGGAAUCAAGAUCUUUUUCUUUUGUGAUAUUAUACCUCAAUGAUCUCAACAUUAAACUUCAGGACAAAAAUCAGCUUGUAUUUCAAAUGUGUGCAGCAGUGAAAGCUUUCAAAAUGAAAUUGAAACUUUUCAGAAGUCAGCUGUCAAAAGGUGAAAUGUAUCACUUUCUCACUUGUGCACAGCGUAUCCCUCAGCACAAACACGCUGAGUUAAGAGAAAAAUACGCAAAGCACAUCAAUCUUUUGAUUGAAGAAUUUGACAGAAGACUUACUUUGUCUAAAGAAGAAGAUGUCCAGUUGAAGCUGAUUGAAGAUCUCUUUUCUGUGGAUCCAGAGGACAUGCCACUAGAUUUGCAGUUGGAGGUUACUGAACUUCAUUGUUCAGCAGUUUACCGAAAUAAGCACAGAGCAAGCAGCCUGUGGGACUUCUACAAAAAUCUGGACAAUGAAAAAUACAAGAAUCUUAUUGAAGUUGCACUGAAAAUGUUCAGCAUUUUUGGAAGCACAUACAUAUGUGAACAAACGUUUUCCAUCAUGAACAAAAUCAAGCAGCAUUCUUCUCUGAUUGAUGACCAUUUGGAAGAUAUUAUGAAAAUAUCCACUUCAGAUGUGACCCCCGAAUACAACAAGCUUGUUGCAGAAAAGAGAUGUACUAUCUCUCUUUAAAUUUGCAAGGUAAUUAUGAAAAGUACAAAUGUUUUCUUUCAACGGAACAGGUGUUUUGCAUU